AUUGAACGCUGGCGGCAGGCCUAACACAUGCAAGUCGAACGAGUGGCGGACGGGUGAGUAAUGUCUGGGAAACUGCCUGAUGGAGGGGGAUAACUACUGGAAACGGUAGCUAAUACCGCAUCCCAUCAGAUGUGCCCAGAUGGGAUUAGCUAGUUGGUUGGGUAACGGCUCACCAAGGCGACGCUCCCUAGCUGGGCUGAGAGGAUGACCAGCCACACUGGAACUGAGACACGGUCCAGACUCUGACGGGAGGCAGCAGGGGGGAAUAGUGCACAAUGGGCGCAAGCCUGAUGCAGCCAUGCCGCGUGUAUGAAGAAGGCCUUCGGGUUGUAAAGUACUUUCAGCGGGGAGGCGUUACCCGCAGAAGAAGCACCGGCUAACUCCGUGCCAGCAGCCGCGGUAAUUC
rnacentral:rRNA from 1 species